CUUAGCAGUGCCCAGCUACUUUUAGUGGCAGGUAUAGCCCCUAAGACCUUAAAGAUUGCUUCACAUAAAUCUGGCUGUGGAGUGUAGGCAAGUCUCUGUAUUGAGUGCUGAAGAGAUUUUUACCCACAGGCUAUUUUUUGGGUCUCUGUGGUAUUUUGUUUUGAGCCACUUCUCUAUGCCCAAGCUCUGCACCCUAUCUCCAUGUUUCCUCAUCCUCCUGGGGUCCCCAGUCUUGAUGUUCUUACAGGUAGGACCAGCCGCUGAGAACAUAAAGAUUGCCUAGAAGAGGUCUGGGUGUGGAAUGUGUAAAAAUUAAAUUAUAAUAUAUAAUAAUAAAAUAUAUUUUAUGAGGUUUAUUAAGGAUCAUUAAAAAUCAAGGAAUAAAGAAGAUACAAAAUAAAAGCACAUGCCCAUUGUUGAGAAGACCAUUUAAAAUCCCCUUGCUUAGCUUACCUCUAUACUUGCUGCAUCAUGCAAGAAGAAAGGAUGUAGGUGGCAUUAUUGCCAGUUAAAUACCAAUAACAUGAUCUUGCCAAUGUGGAGACACAAGAGAGAUUAUAGGGAAUUCUGAGAAAUACCAAGGACUUCAGUGGAAUGAAGUCUAGUUUUCAAAUUCUCCAUUUAUACAAAUAUAAGCAAGACUCUAUUGCAUGCUGGAGAGGUUUUUGUCUGAAGGUUUUUUUUUUUUGGUUCUCUGUGACAUUUUGCUGCGAGCCCCCCCUCCCUGCUCAAGCUCCACAUGCUAUCUCAAUGUAUUCUCAGCCUUCCAGUGUUCUGAGUCUAUCUUCUCUUACAGAUAAGUCUGUGUUGACCUAAGCCAGCCUCCCUCCUAGAACUUAGAAGUUUGUCUGAUGCUCACUUGGACUCUGGAAAGGCACUGUGUCUUGAUGGGCAGAGAGGAGAAAAUCUCUGCUUCUACUCUGGAGCCAUCUUCCUAAUGGCUUGUUUUAAGGAAGUCUGGUCUUCAACUACUGUAUGUAUGGGAAGCAUAUCUUCAGCAGUUCCUAUGCUGUUCUCAUACCAAGAUGGGAAAACUGAGUUCCAAAGAUAUUCAGUGCCUUCCCCAAGGUCACACAAGUAACAAAUGGCAUGAUUAGGAUUUUAAAUUCUACAACUCGACCUCCAAAACCAGCACCUUUUCCUCCACAUUGAACUUCAACAUAUUGCUUCAAGUCUUUCAUUUUUUCUCAGGGAGCUGGGCUUUGCAAUGUUUUUCUAUGUUUCUACUGCCAAUAAAAAAUGCAUGUUUUAAACAAUUAACUAUUAUAGGCACAAUUAAAUAAAAGUAUAAGCCUUUAAUUUUGCAGGUUUUCCUCAUUAUUAUAGUCACUGAGUUGGACACUAACUCUGAUGCUCAACUGGGCACUAAGACUGAUGCAUUUUGUAAAUUAAUAGCUUGGAGACAGUUUUGAGAAUCAA